rnacentral:lncRNA from 1 species
UUUAGUAGUCAAGUGGAUUAACUUCACUCACACGUAAUUUUUAUAAACCCUAAGUUCAUUCAUAAACCCUAAGUUCAUCCAUAAAUCCUAAGUUCAUCCAAAAACCCUAAGUUCAUCCAAAAACCCUAAGUUCAUCCAAAAACCCUAAGUUCAUCUAUAAACCCUAAGUUCAUCCAUAAAUCCUAAGUUCAUUCAUCCUAAAUUUCCCUUCAUCAAUCAUCCAUCCCUUAAAUCUCAUUCAUCCUAUAACAUUCAUUCAUUCAAAGUUUGUUCAUCCAAUUUUCAUCUAAAGAUUCAUUCAUCCAACCAUAAGUCAACUUAUCAUCCAACUGACAAUUCGUGCAAUUGACCUAAUUCAUCCAAGAUUCAUUCUAAAAAUUAAAGAAAAUUGGAAGUCGCCACCUUCCAAGUCAUGGUAGCGACCCCCUUGCACGAAUUCCACUACAAUGGUUGCAUCACUAACUUGUUUAUAACAAGCUUUGCUAUUUUAGAAAGUAGACUUACAAGCGCUUGUCUUCCAACAAAAUUCAAUGCAAAACAACAAUUAAGCUAAGAGAAAUCUUGCCUCAAAGUUGCCUGACUUUCUCGGCCUAGUCAGAGCACCCCUGGCCACAAAAACCCUUGCCCUUGCUCCAUUCCAGUUGUGCAACGCAUAUGCUUUAGCAUUCCAGAAACUAGAAUUGAAGCCGCAUCACCUCCAACAAUUUUUUCUUGAAAAUCUUGAGUGAAUUUCAAGAUAUGACCUUCCAAAGUAGCUUGAGUUGGCGGAGUGCUACAUCUUCACCACGGCCGACUCCUCUUCACUCCAACCACCAUAACUUCCUUGGCCUUUACUCAAUCUAAGCGUGCAAAUAGUCCUUGCAAAGCUGACAACAAGAACCAUCUCCCACAAAAGUUUCAGCUCCAAAUUCAAUACUGUCCGCCAACACUCGCCUUCCAAAGUCGGACCUCCAGAUCUGGCCGGCAGCUGACCUCCUUGUCACUAAAACCACCACAACUUUCUUC